rnacentral:rRNA from 1 species
UUCCGUAGGGGUGCCUGCGGAGGGAUCAUUGCUGGAACGCGCCCCAGGCGCACCCAGAAACCCUUUGUGAACUUAUACCUUACUGUUGCCUCGGCGCAUGCCGGCCCCCCUGGGGGCCCCUCCUUCUGGAGGAGCAGGCACGCCGGCGGCCAACCUAACUCUUGUUUUUACACUGAAACUCUGAGCACAAAACAUAAAUGAAUCAAAACUUUCAACAACGGAUCUCUUGGUUCUGGCAUCGAUGAAGAACGCAGCGAAAUGCGAUAAGUAAUGUGAAUUGCAGAAUUCAGUGAAUCAUCGAAUCUUUGAACGCACAUUGCGCCCUCUGGUAUUCCGGAGGGCAUGCCUGUUCGAGCGUCAUUUCAACCCUCAAGCCUGGCUUGGUGAUGGGGCACUGCCUGUAAAAGGGCAGGCCCUGAAAUUCAGUGGCGAGCUCGCCAGGACCCCGAGCGCAGUAGUUAAACCCUCGCUCUGGAAGGCCCUGGCGGUGCCCUGCCGUUAAACCCCCAACUUCUGAAAAUUUGACCUCGGAUCAGGUAGGAAUACCCGCUGAACUUAAGCAUAUCAAA